rnacentral:rRNA from 1 species
CUGUGAGCUCGAUGAGUAGGGCGGGACACGUGGUAUCCUGUCUGAAUAUGGGGGGACCAUCCUCCAAGGCUAAAUACUCCUGACUGACCGAUAGUGAACCAGUACCGUGAGGGAAAGGCGAAAAGAACCCCGGCGAGGGGAGUGAAAAAGAACCUGAAACCGUGUACGUACAAGCAGUGGGAGCACAGAGCAAUCUGUGUGACUGCGUACCUUUUGUAUAAUGGGUCAGCGACUUAUAUUCUGUAGCAAGGUUAACCGAAUAGGGGAGCCGAAGGGAAACCGAGUCUUAACUGGGCGUUAAGUUGCAGGGUAUAGACCCGAAACCCGGUGAUCUAGCCAUGGGCAGGUUGAAGGUUGGGUAACACUAACUGGAGGACCGAACCGACUAAUGUUGAAAAAUUAGCGGAUGACUUGUGGCUGGGGGUGAAAGGCCAAUCAAACCGGGAGAUAGCUGGUUCUCCCCGAAAGCUAUUUAGGUAGCGCCUCGUGAAUUCAUCUCCGGGGGUAGAGCACUGUUUCGGCAAGGGGGUCAUCCCGACUUACCAACCCGAUGC